AUUGAACGCUGGCGGCAUGCCUUACACAUGCAAGUCGAACGGCAGCACGGGAGCAAUCCUGGUGGCGAGUGGCGAACGGGUGAGUAAUACAUCGGAACGUGCCCAGUAAUGGGGGAUAACCCGGCGAAAGCCGGACUAAUACCGCAUACGACCUACGGGUGAAAGCGGGGGAUCGCAAGACCUCGCGUUAUUGGAGCGGCCGAUGGCAGAUUAGCUAGUUGGUGGGGUAAAAGCCUACCAAGGCGACGAUCUGUAGCUGGUCUGAGAGGACGACCAGCCACACUGGGACUGAGACACGGCCCAGACUCCUACGGGAGGCAGCAGUGGGGAAUUUUGGACAAUGGACGCAAGUCUGAUCCAGCCAUGCCGCGUGUGGGAAGAAGGCCU
rnacentral:rRNA from 1 species